rnacentral:rRNA from 1 species
UACGUAGGGUGCGAGCGUUGUCCGGAAUUAUUGGGCGUAAAGCGCUUGUAGGCGGUUUGUCGCGUCUGCUGUGAAAAUCCGGGGCUCAACCCCGGACUUGCAGUGGGUACGGGCAGACUAGAGUGUGGUAGGGGAGACUGGAAUUCCUGGUGUAGCGGUGGAAUGCGCAGAUAUCAGGAGGAACACCUAUGGCGAAGGCAGCUCGCUGGGACGGUACUGACGCUGAGGCGCGAAAGCGUGGGGAGCGAACAGG